UUGGCGACGUGGCCGCCACUGGAGAAAGAGAGGGAGGGCUCAUCCCCAGAGCAGGCCACCUUCUACAACCUGCUCCUCACCCCCCCCCUCCUUUUCACUUGCGCACCUUCACACACUCAUCCGCAAGCUGCUGUACACUCAUCCGAACAACCAUCUUCAGAGAAUUGGCAGGCAUGUCUGCCACCAUGCAGUGCCCAUCAGAUGGCGAGAGCAGCGGCUAUGGAAGCCCAAGCACCACUGCCUCCAGUCGUGGGGACACGGAUCUCGAUGUGGAGGAAAAGACCUGUGCUGUGUGUGGAGACCGGGCCUCUGGCUACCACUUCCACGUCAUGACCUGCGAAGGUUGCAAAGGCUUCUUCCGACGGACGGUCAUCAAGGGCGUCCAGUUUACCUGUCCCUUCACCCGCAGCUGCACCAUUACCAAAGCCAAGCGGCGCCACUGCCAGUCCUGCCGCUACCAGAAAUGCCUGGAGGUGGGGAUGCGGAAAGACAUGAUCAUGUCAGAGGAGGCUUUGAGCCUACGCCGGGCGCUACGGCAGCAGAAGCGGCGCGGAGAACAGAGCCCUACUGUGACAUCGGAGCCAUCUAAGGAGAGCAGUUUAACCACGGAGCAGGAGCAACUCAUCGAGAUCCUGAUGGAGGCACACAAGAAGUACUUUGACUCCAAUUUCUCCCAGUUCAUUCACUACCAACCUCAAGUGCGCCUGUACAUCCACAGUCCACGAUCUCGGAGUCCCCAGGAUCCCGCCGCCCCUCCCUUGCGCCCGCUCAGUCCGCAAGACCACCUGGAGUGCUACUCGGAGGAGGUGCUCCCGGACGUGUUCUCCAUGCUGCCGCUCUUUGCCGAUCUCAGCACCUUCAUGAUCCAGCAAGUGAUCCAGUUUGCCAAGGCGAUCCCAUUUUUUAGAAGCCUGCCAAUCGACGAUCAGAUCUCGCUCCUCAAAGGGGCUACUCUCGAGAUCGGCCUGCUCUGGUUCAACACAGUGUUCAAUGAAGAAACCAACUCAUGGGAAUGCAAUCAACACUGCUAUACCAUCCAAGAUUGUGCCUUGGUUGGAUUCCAGCAGAUCUACUUAGAGCCACUGUUGAAGUUUCAUAUCAGCCUGAAGAAGCUGAGGCUGCAUGAGGCCGAAUAUGUCCUCUUACAAGCCUUGGUGCUAUUCUACCCAGCCCUGCUCCUUUGCAGACCACGUGACUGUCACACAGCGAGACGAGAUUGACCAGAUGCAAGAGAAAAUCGCCCUCACUCUGAAAAACUACAUUGACCAUCGGCAUCCUUUGCCUGAAGGCAGGUUCCUCUACGCCAAGCUUCUGUUGCUGUUGACAGAGCUGCGGACGCUGAAAGUGGAGAACAUGCGGCAGAUCCUCCAUAUCCAUCACCAGCAAGAUCUUACUACCAUGACGCCGCUGUUGUCAGAGAUUAUCAGCUGAAAACUGGAGGCAGGAAGGUGGCUAUUGGCCUCCCGUGUCUAGGAUGCCUACUGCUUUGACAGCCACCUAGAUCGAAAAGGGACAGCUGCCCUGCAAGACCUGACAGCCACCUAGAUCGAAAAGGGACAGCUGCCCUGCAAGACCUUUGACAGCCACCUAGAUCGAAAAGGGACAGCUGCCCUGCAAGACCUGACAGCCACCUAGAUCGAAAAGGGACAGCUGCCCUGCAAGACCUGACAGCCACCUAGAUCGAAAAGGGACAGCUGCCCUGCAAGACCUUUGACAGCCACCUAGAUCGAAAAGGGACAGCUGCCCUGCAAGACCUUAGCCACGAUGAACCCUCUAAUUUGAAAAUCCAGGCGCUUUUGCAAAAUGGGGCAAAUUUAUCCCUCUUACCUUGAGCCACAGCUACCUUAGCAGAUCCAGAAUCUCUUCCCUCUGUUCUGAGCCUGAUUUUCUCCUCCAACCAUCUAAUCCUCCUUCCACAGUUAAUCCAAUAGCAGCCAAUCCUGUCUAUGGACUCCCCCUUCAAGUUAAUCCCAGUUUAGCGGGUCUCAUGCGAUCCACCCCCUGGCCGAUAUUAUCCGAUCCACUGAUCCUUUCUAAGCUGCCCCCUAAGCCCUAUUAGGUUUUUGAGGUCACUGAAGCAUGGCCUACCAUACACCUCGUAUGAUGAGAAGUUCAGGGCAAUCUUUGCAAAAAAGAUGAUUUGAUUGGGAAGGGAGAACUGUGCCUGUGCAAAAAUUGACCAAUCUAGGAGGAUUUAUAGGAAGGGCUAAUGCUGAAAGCGCAAGCGUUAAAACCUAGCAAGCUUUACUGCAUUCUUGGCUAACUUCUCUUCAAACUGCAUUUUACCAAAGCGGCACCCCUCCCAGCAUAUGCCUCUGAGCAACUCCCAAGAAAACAUAUAUGUCCACUUGGGUGGGCAACUGCCAACUUAAACAAGCAAUUUACACUGUUCUGGAUGUCCAUGCCUGGAAGAGGACAUUUCCCCCAAACACUUUCAACAAAUAUAGUUUUGGCUGUUCCAGUAUUAUUUCUGCCUCCAGCCAAAAGCAUUGAAGGAAAGGGAGCCUCCUAAAUCAGAUAAAACACCCAAGUACUCCAGCAUUCUCUUUCACAGCCACGGUCAACCAGUUAGAUUUCUCUGCAAAGGGCAUGAAAACAAUCUAUACUGCUUCCCAUCAGGCAUUCAAAGGUACCCUGCCUUUGCCAAUGAAGGUUCUACUUCACCAACGUGGUUAACAACCAUUAUCAAAAAGAGUCCAGUAGCACCUUUAAGACUAACGAACUUUAUUGUAGCAUAAGCUUUCGAGAAUCACAGUUCUCUUCGUCAGAUGCAUGAGACCAUUAAGAUAAAUCUCUUUCUGAAAGCUACAGAUGGCUAGUAGCCCCUGCAAAAACAGCAAAGAAUUCAAACUGCAGGCCCAGGAUACGCCAAUCCCGGUUUUCUCUGAUUUGGUAGUCAUAUAUCAGGUCUUGAUUUAUCUGGCACAGUACCAAAUUUUCAAUUUUUAAAAACAUUUUAUGCUCCCAUACUGCUUCCUGUAUGGCAGACACCUAGGGUUACCAGCUCCUGGUUGGGAAACUCUUGGGAGAAUUUGAGAGGGUGGUGGAGUUUGGGGAGGGAAAAGACCUUAGCCAUGUAUAAUGCCAUAGAGUCCACCUUCCAAAACAUCCAUUUUCUCUGGGGGAACUGAUCUCUGUGGCUUCGAGAUCGGUUGCAAUUCAAGGAGCUCUCCAGUCAUCACCUGGAGGCUGGCAAGCCUACACACCCUGUGUGGACUGAGCACAUAACUGCCAGAAGGAGAGCAUUCCCCGUUUGCAUAGGGAGACUUCCACUCUUACCGCCCAUACCAAUUUGCCUUCCAACGGUAGUGCAGACUGCCAGGUUGCUCCAAGGCCCUCGACUCCUUUCUCCCCUGCCCUCAGUCUCAGAACUUAAGUAAAUUGUCAGUGGGUUUUCUCAAGGCCUGCAGGCCUCACUGCGAUCAGACCCACUGGGCCAGGGCAGUGUUGCUAAGCAACCACAAGCUCAGCUCACACAUGCUAGCUGAGGCAAGGCCCAACAUCCAUCUCCCCUCUCUAGGGCUACCAGCUCUGGGUCAGGAAAUCCUUAGAACGUUCUCAGAAGAGUAUAAUGUCAUAGAGUCCGCCCUCCAAAGCAGCCAUUUUCUCUGGGGGAACUGAUCUCUGUAAUCUGGAGACUGGCUGAAAUUCUGGGAAAUCUCCAGGCCUGGAAGGUUGGCAGCCCUUCUCCUUCCCCUAAUCCCCCAUACUUAGAUCCAUAUUUCCUUUAGAUUCACAGUCAAAUAAUCCCCCCACCCCAGGAUGUUGUACAAUCCAACCUAGAGAGGUAUUUUCUUUGUAUACUGGACCCAUUGGGGACUCACUAUGGCACUUUGGAGGGGGGCUAUAAUAGAAGAAGAAGCAAUGAGCUGUUUUCUGUCUCGUACAUACACCCAAGCACUUUAAAAGACUAAUUAAAAGGCUGGUUUUAUUUUUCCA